CACAUGGCAGCAGCUGUGACCCGUCUACACUCACUUUAUACACAGUUUGUCUCAGGAAAACAAAUUAUUUAGAAAGCAGAGCUGUGUGUUACGAGCCUGUGGUUUAGCUUGUGAACGGGAACAUGUCUGUGCUGUGCUACAACAGGAGCUGCGGAAAGCGAUUUGACCCGGACAACAACCCCGACGGGUUGGUCCUGCUGCAAGAGGCGCACCACAGACUUCUCAGACUUCCUGAGUAUUACAGCAUCUGACAUUGUGUCCCACCGGCACUGAGAGGCCUGCCCAUUUUCCUCAGAGAGGAUGCAACAGAGGUUUUCCUGAAGUGCUUAGACACUGACAUUUUGGAACCAGUGUUGAACGGUGCAUCAGUUGCCAUCCUCACCAUCCUAUAAGAUGACAAUGCCAAUACGUCUGUGCGAGAACAUGCAGUUGUGUUGGAAGGAGACAUCGUGCUACAUAACAUUCCAGA